CGAAGGACUCUUUUUUUCUGUCCCUAACAAUCGCCUUCUGAUUCUUAUGUUUCACGCUGAUAUCACGAUUAUAAUGAAGCAUGAAACGUUGUUAUUGAACGAGAUAGAAAAUAAAAAAGAAAUCGGAAUAAAUAAAUCGUCCAGUGUGAUAAGAAAAAAGAAAAAAUUAUCGGAUAGAGAUGAGGGAAUAAAAACCGAAUUAUUGAACUCCGAUCGAUUAGCAUUAAGUGUGAUCGUUAUACGAAUUCGAUUACAUUCGUAAUUAAAUUAUUUACGAAUAAUUUAAUUUCAAUCGUGUGGUAUACCCAUACUGAAAUUAGAUAACACAAACUCACGAUAUAAAGGAGACGUAUGUAGGUAGGUAGAGAAACGACCUUGAGUUAACGGGUUAAGGACGACUUCAGCUAAAUGGGCCAUUGGCUGCUUCGACGAUCAACGUCCAUCUCAAAGGAGGCAGCUGUCAGUGGAAAAAAAGAAAAAAAAAAGAAAGGAAAGGAAAAAGACAAAAAGUUCCCAACGAGUUAGUUCAAUCCCAUGGACGAAAGAAUUUUCAGGGUUUCCAUUGAUAUAAAGGAUUAUGUUUCGAAGGACAAGACUUUCACCUUUAAACUUACCUGGGUUUUAAACUUUAAAAAUAAUCUAACUCAAAGCACAGGACAAGUGCGAUCGUGCGAAUUCGAGAACGAAGGAGUCACAGUGCAAAUACCACAUUGAGAUUCAAUUCUCGCGGGAAGAUCAUUAACGUAAUAGCGAAAUCAACGACGGAUUUAUCUUAAUCUUGUUUGUGGUUGGUCACUCACGUACGCUGACAAGACGACAGGAUUCUCUAUGGCGAUGUAAUGUGCGGAAAGCGUGUUUUUUCAAAAGCAAAAAGAACAAAGUCGAAAUUGUCAAGGGGAAAGAGAGGGGAAGAGAGGGAAAGAGAGAGAGAGAGAGAGAGAGAGAAAGAGCGCAAAGAAUCGAACGAAUAAAAAGCAAAAAAACUCUUGCUGGUCGUCGUACAACGAGGAAAGGAUAAAAAUCGUAAAGGUUUUUCGCGCGCAGAACGAGCGAAGACACGUGAUGUCGGUGACAGAGGAAGAGGAGGAGGAGGAGGAGGUGUAGUGGCAUGAUAGUGCGGAGGUGAGGUGGGUGACGAAAAAGGCGAGUAAAUGUGCCGGAUACUCUCAUCCAUACGUGUUGGUCGACAUUCAACAAGUGACUGACACUGAUGUCGCCCGAACGAUAUCCUACGUCCUUUGCCCUGCAAGGGUGGAAGUGGGAUGCAGUAGGGGGUAGCAUUAUUGCCGGCACCGGCCGAGUCCGAGUAUCGGAAAGCUUCUGUGGCAUAAAGGAAAAAAGAGAAAGAGAACGUUCUCCGUGAGAAGGCAUAAGCGCGUAAAUAUCAGCGCGGACGAAGAGCCAUGGAGCGUAGGAAUGGAAAGAAGGAACGAACAGACCGGUCUUGCUGUCUGCUCUUUCUUUCUAUCUCUCUCUUUUUCUUUCGUCUCCAUAUGCUCUUCCCUCGCGUUCUUGAAGCAAAAGAAAAAGAUGGAGUCGAAGAAGUCUAACGCAACGAAGAGCAAGAAAGAAAGAAAGAAAGAAAGAAAGAAAGAAAGAAAGAAAGAAAGAAGGAAAGAAAGAAAGAAGGUUACCGACGAGGAGGAUGGACAGAGGCAGGCGAGCAGCAGGCAGGCAGGCAGGCAGGCAGGCAAGAGAGUUGGCAGGCACAGGUAGGCAAGCAGGCAACAAGCAAGCAGGCAGGCAAGCCGGCCGGCAAACAGACAGGCAGGCAGGCAGCAGGUAGGCAAACAGGCAGGAAGGCAGGAAAACAGGCAGGCAGGCAGGCAGGCAAGCUGGCUGGUUGAUGGAGAGGCGCCGACGAAGAGAGGGAGUAAGAGAGAUGAAAGAGGAGGAGGAGGAGGAGGAGGAUGAAAGGUGGACGAGGGAGGAGAAAGGCGAGGGGAUCGAUAGAACGACAAGGACGGCGUAUGCGUAUAUAGUUAUACACAUAGCAUGCUACGGCAGCAUCGGCUGUCGUCGAAUGACGGAAAGGGGGUGGGGAGAAAGAGGGGAGGCCUGCGAGCGUUUCGAGGCGUCCCUGGAUGGCGGCACCACCGUCGACCCCAACGCACGGAUAGAUGCGAUGAGGCCUGCGCCGUUUGUCGGCAGCAAUACUGACUGGGUGGGGAUAACGUCAGACUGACGGACUCGUGGGAAAGAGAGAGGAGAGGAAGCGAGUGAGUGAGCGAACGAGCGAACGACAAAGAGAGAGAGAGGAGAGAAAGAGAGAGAGCGACAUGGGCGCGCGCGCGAGGCUCGACGAGGAAGGAGAUUGGUCGAGGCGGUGGCGACGAUGCGACUGCCUCGAAGGUGGGAGAAGGCUGGCGCGAUCGGAUCGCGUUAAACGGAACACCCCGUAUAACGAGCGUACAUUGGGAGCUCUCUCGGAAGCGCGUCGAUCCAUAUUUUAAAGCUACGGUCGAUAUUGAGAGAGAGAGAGAGAGAAAGAGAGAGAGAGACAGAGCGAUAGAGAGAAAUAAAGAGAGAGAGAUCGUCGAGUUUUGUACUCUUUUUGAUUUCGUUAAAACGCGAGUAUGAUUUUCUUCAAACUUAUAAAUUCAAAGGUCCUUUUCUCAGAAAAUCAACGAUAACAAAGAUAACGAUAACAAUAAUGAUGACGAUGGUAAUGACGAGGACAAUGAUGAUGAUGACGAUAAAGAUGAAGACGACGACGACGACGGCGACGAUAACGACCACGACGAUGACGAAGAAGAAGACAACGUGAAAUUGUUUUAUUAAAGAAUUUCUGAACAAGGACCAGCCUGAAAUUGUCAAUCUCUAAAAACGGUCAAUGCUUUUUGAAAAA